rnacentral:lncRNA from 1 species
GCCCAGCAUCUGUUUCCUUUUGUCAUGGUUCCUGUGGCUUCCUCUGCAUGCACAGGGUUUGUUUGUGAACCAAUUCCUGGAGCAUGCACACUUUGUGAGCAAAGCCUCCUCCAGGCUUCUGGAGAUGGAGUUCCUUGCUUGCCACCUGGAGACCAGUCCUCUGCAUCGUUGUUCCAUGUUGUAAUUUUUGGACAUGACUGAAGACAUUUAAAACCCAGUAUCUUACAUGUUCUCAAGCUCUGAAUUGACAUGUUUGACAGCUAGCCAUUUUAAAGUGAGACACAUCUGUUCCUGGCAGCAUCAAUUUACUUCAAAAAAUGAUAAUGGACAUCAAAGAACCUCCAAUUGGAGUUUACUUUCUUUGUGGAAAAAGCUAGUCAUUUGGGCAAGAAACUGCUCUGACUUGACUGCUGACAGUAUGCUGUCCAAAUUGGAUAAGCAGAACACACACACAAAAAGUGACUGCCAAACUUUGCCAAGACAUGAUAGGAUAGUCCCUCAGAAUUCCUACUUCAUAGAAAUGCCAGGUAUUCUAGGCCUGUAGGCCCAAGAUGGAUGCCUCAACAUUGCAGCAGAAGCUUGAGUGACUGUCCAGGCAGCCAGAUAUCUCUGUCAUUUUGGAAGUGGUUUGUAUUGCACUUCUUGUUUACUCAGUUAGUAUUAUGUCCUUCUGGGGUCUUUGAUGGAGUUGAAGACUUGGUGAUUAUAGUUGCCCUUUUCCUCAGUUAUGAUAGAAGGUGAAUUAGGUACAGAGCUUUUGACUCAACAAGAUAGAAUAAUGGAGUAUUUUCUCUGAAUAUGCCAAAUACAAAUAGACUGGACAUUAUGAAUGUGAUUCUUACCUGAUAAUUGGUCUUAUUGUUUAUAAUUUUAUUAUGUUAAGAGUUAAAAUCUUUCCUUUUUAUUUAGACAAAAAGGGGGAAAUGUUGUAGAAUAUUCCUUUCACUGUAUGAAGAUGUGUCACUGUGGUCGGUUUAAUAAAGGGCUGAAUAGCCAUUAGCUAGGCAGGAAGAGGUUUAGCAGGACUUCUAGGGCCAGAGAGCUCUGAGAAGAAGAAAGGAGUUGCAAGCCAGGUACAGGGAGAACAAGACAUGCAGGAGGAGAGGUAAAAUCCACAAAUCACAUGGCCACACAUAGAUGAAUAGAAAUGGGUUAAUUUAAGUUAUAAGAGAUAGUGGGACAGGCCUAAGCUAUAGGGCAAGCUUUCAUAAUUAAUAAGAAGUCUCCAUGUCAUUUUCUGUGAACUGGCAGCUGUAGGGAGACAUUAUAGCCCCACCUCCUAGUAGCCCGGACAGUUGUGCCCGGACACGCCCGUGAGGGCGUGGUGAAGGGAGGUCUAAAGGUGACACGGGGAGGAUUCUUAAGGGACAGUGGACACAUGGAUAGCCCCUUCUCCCUUCUCCUAUCUCUGGUCUGGCUGCCUUGCUGACCCUGGCACGCUCUGGCUUGCGCUUGGCUGGUGUUUAUCUGAAUAAAGAAAUCUUAGCCUUAUGGACUGUGGAUUGAUCUCUU